rnacentral:ncRNA from 1 species
AUGAACUGUUAUUCCGAGAAGUCAAAUGAGGGGGUAACGCCCUGAAGGGCUUCCUCUAAUCCUCCGACAUGCGGUUAGAUUAGCAAGAAUCUGACGGUAGGAAGCUCGGUGAAGUCGGCUGAGAGCUGUCGUAAAUCUAAUGAUACGAAAGCUGUCCAGAGGUGGAUGGUAUAGCCUAUAGGCCGGGAGUCUACAAA